rnacentral:rRNA from 1 species
UGCUGGAGGUAUCAGAAGUGCGAAUGCUGACAUAAGUAACGAUAAAGCGGGUGAAAAACCCGCUCGCCGGAAGAUCAAGGGUUCCUGUCCAACGUUAAUCGGGGCAGGGUGAGUCGACCCCUAAGGCGAGGCUGAAAAGCGUAGUCGAUGGGAAACAGGUUAAUAUUCCUGUACUUGGUGUUACUGCGAAGGGGGGACGGAGAAGGCUAGGUUAUCCGGGCGACGGUUGUCCCGGUUUAAGCGAGUAGGCUGAUGGUUUUGGUAAAUCCGGACUAUCUUAAGGCUGAGACGUGAUGACGAGGUUCUACGGAACUGAAGUAAUUGAUGCCAUGCUUCCAGGAAAAGCCUCUAAGCUCUAGGUAACAUUGAAUCGUACCCCAAACCGACACAGGUGAUCAGGUAGAGAAUACCAAGGCGCUUGAGAGAACUCGGGUGAAGGAACUAGGCAAAAUGGUGCCGUAACUUCGGGAGAAGGCACGCUGGCGCGUAGGUGAAGGGACUUGCUCCCGGAGCUGAAGCCAGUCGAAGAUACCAGCUGGCUGCAACUGUUUAUUAAAAACACAGCACUGUGCAAACACGAAAGUGGACGUAUACGGUGUGACGCCUGCCCGGUGCUGGAAGGUUAAUUGAUGGGGUUAUCCGUAAGGAGAAGCUCUUGAUCGAAGCCCCAGUAAACGGCGGCCGUAACUAUAACGGUCCUAAGGUAGCGAAAUUCCUUGUCGGGUAAGUUCCGACCUGCACGAAUGGCGUAAUGAUGGCCAGGCUGUCUCCACCCGAGACUCAGUGAAAUUGAAAUCGCUGUGAAGAUGCAGUGUACCCGCGGCAAGACGGAAAGACCCCGUGAACCUUUACUAUAGCUUGACACUGAACAUUGAGCCUUGAUGUGUAGGAUAGGUGGGAGGCUUUGAAGUGUGGACGCCAGUCUGCAUGGAGCCAACCUUGAAAUACCACCCUUUAAUGUUUGAUGUUCUAACGUAGACCCGUAAUCCGGGUUGCGGACAGUGUCUGGUGGGUAGUUUGACUGGGGCGGUCUCCUCCCAAAGAGUAACGGAGGAGCACGAAGGUUAGCUAAUCACGGUCGGACAUCGUGAGGUUAGUGCAAAGGCAUAAGCUAGCUUGACUGCGAGAGUGACAGUUCGAGCAGGUGCGAAAGCAGGUCUUAGUGAUCCGGUGGUUCUGAAUGGAAGGGCCAUCGCUCAACGGAUAAAAGGUACUCCGGGGAUAACAGGCUGAUACCGCCCAAGAGUUCAUAUCGACGGCGGUGUUUGGCACCUCGAUGUCGGCUCAUCACAUCCUGGGGCUGAAGUAGGUCCCAAGGGUACGGCUGUUCGCCGUUUAAAGUGGUACGCGAGCUGGGUUUAGAACGUCGUGAGACAGUUCGGUCCCUAUCUGCCGUGGGCGUUGGAGAAUUGAGGGGGGUUGCUCCUAGUACGAGAGGACCGGAGUGAACGCACCACUGGUGUUCGGGUUGUCAUGCCAAUGGCAUUGCCCGGUAGCUAAGUGCGGAAAAGAUAAGUGCUGAAAGCAUCUAAGCACGAAACUUGCCCCAAGAUGAGUUCUCCCUGACCCCUUGAGGGUCCUGAAGGGACGUUGAAGACUACGACGUUGAUAGGCUGGGUGUGUAAGUGCAGCGAUGCAUUGAGCUAACCAGUACUAAUGACCCGUGAGGCUUAACCUUACAACGCCAGAGGCGUUUUG